rnacentral:rRNA from 1 species
UACGGAGGAUGCAAGCGUUAUCCGGAAUGAUUGGGCGUAAAGCGUCCGCAGGUGGCAGUUCAAGUCUGCUGUCAAAGACCGGGGCUUAACUUCGGAAAGGCAGUGGAAACUGAACAGCUAGAGUAUGGUAGGGGCAGAGGGAAUUCCUGGUGUAGCGGUGAAAUGCGUAGAGAUCAGGAAGAACACCGAUGGCGAAGGCACUUUACUGGGCUAUUACUAACACUCAGAGACGAAAGCUAGGGUAGCAAAUGGG